UUGUUUUUUUUAUCUCUCUUUUUUUGACGCACGUUACGAAAUAUGUCAAAAUUCCUGGAAUCCCCGGUAUGAUAUCUCGCGCCGAAGGCUGCAUCAUCGAUAAUCCACGAGUCUGACGUCACUCCGAACGGAAUCGACGUCAAGACGACGAAAUUCAAGAUAGCCGACGUGCACAGGCGGGCGAUUUUAUCAUUGAUAAUCUACGAUCUCGACGUCAUCGCGAACCGCGCAGUGAAAAGCACCCGAUAUAUCGAUUAUUCGAUCGCCGUCACCGGAAUACCGGCAAGGUCUCGGGAAAUCACCGGCCGGCUGGCCUUUUAAUCGCGGAUAUUGAGGACUUCUCCAACCGAGAAGAAGGACGGCGGUCGCUUCGCCGUUCGAGAUUGCAAUAAUUAGAAAGCUAUUUAGCAUUUUACAAUUAAAAGGUCUCGGAGGUCUUUAAAAACCCCCCGAAGAUACAAAUAAAUAUGCAAGAGAGAGAGAGAGAGA